UGCCUGAUCUGGUCGGGGCGCUCAUCUCUCGGCUGGCGUCACCGGGGAGCCAGCCUUCUUCACCGGUGUGCGGUCGCCGGCAGCCAGUCACGUUCUGGUGCUCCGUCGGCUUCCUGGCUGCUCCCCUCCCCCUCUGGUGCACAGCUGGCUGCCUGGCUCCGCCCCAUUGUAGUGGCGGCCUUGCUGGCCUCUUGGCCGGCCUUGCUACCACCGCCGGAGGGGGAAGCCGUCGGCCCCCGGUGGCGUGCUGGUGCGGCGUCGGCCCCAGGCUCCCUCUAGUGCCGAGACGGCGGGCUAGCGCAUGCGGUCGCCUAGCGGCCUGCACUCGCGGCGCUCGAGCGCUGCCAGGCGAGCGGGCAACCAGCCGCACGGCCUUCGGCACGCGUGUCAGGCAGCCAGUCACAGCGGCCAGCGCGGGGAACAGGCGCGCACGCAGCGUGCUCGCAGCUGAGCAAGCAGCAACGCAGGAGGCCUGGGCCAGCAAGGGCACUCAGCCCAAGGUGGCCAGCAGCUUGGGGGUGCUGCGGCCAGGCCGGCGGUGCAAGCAGGAGCAGGUCUACAGCAGUAGCUGGGCCAAUUCGGUUUGAAUCCUCUCUUUGCACUUGCCAUUUAAUUCCUGCUCAUUUUUUUAAAGUUAAUUGACGGCCACAAGCUGCAAGGUCUGAGGAUCGACGACUGCGCAAUUUGUGGUUUGGAAAGUUACAGGACUGAGAUGGGAGAGGGCUUAUGAAGGCAUGCAUACAUGUCUUUCUCACCUGCAGGUCUCCUAUGAAUCUCUAAUCUUGUCGUUCUUUAUGCUUAAUGCUCACUUUUUUAACAGGACAUGAUGCAAGAGUAUAGAAAUAGAUCAUGGGAUGAAACCUGCAAAUUAACGGCAUAUAACACAUACUAUCUGACAUUGAUGACAUCUUAUCAUAUUGUAUGAUUUAUGAUUUUUAUAUCUUUUUUUUUUGCAUGGACAUAUGUAUCAGUUACAGGAGAUUGGUGUGUGUUGGAGUAACUGGCUUGAAACAUAGCAGUUUGUAUGACACUAAGGAUGUAGGAUAAAGGAGUUGCAGGUGCAUGGUGCUUAUAAACAUGGGUAUGAUAGGAUCUCCAGGAGAAGUUAUUCAGCUCCUACUCAGGAACCUGUACCAGGGUAGUAUUAUGGUUGGGGAAGUGCAAAUGUGUGGUGUUAUAUAUUUCACACUUAAUCAGCUCUAGAGUGUCAAGGCCUUUUGACCUUACUCCAUGGUGAACCUGCUAGGCAUGAGUACUCCUCUGUGAAGCAGCAAAAAGAACUGUUAUCGAUAUCUUCAAAUGUUUUUGCUAGCUAAGUUUUGCCAUGGAACCUGAUUCGCUUAUUACUUUGUGGUUAUUCUGAGUGAAUCUUUAUCGCUUGUGUUCUUUUUAUUUUUUUUGUUUUGGGUGUCAAACAGCAACUAUAUAAGAAAAUAGCUGCAGUAGUCAAAUAUGAUGUGGCCAUGAAAGGAGGUGAUAAGUGCUUGGAAUAUCCAACAGCCACCCACUCACUUACAGGAUCAUAAAAGGCCUUCAUCUAUGUAGCUGCUCAGAUCAAUGGCCUGCUGAAACUUCUUCCUGUAUCAUCUUUCUAUGAUGGGAUUUGCUGAAGCAUACUUGGAAGGGGUUAGGGAGUUCACUGCCUUGCUACAAUCCAAACUUCUUCUGUGUAUAUCCUGCAAGAGGCUCAGUACCCUUACUGUAUUGGUGGGUGAGUACAUAUGGGAAAAGGGGAAGUCAGGGUUUGCGGGAGCACCGCUAUGUCAUUUAAGAAGAAGGAUGCAGCUUAGAGAUUGAAGUAAUCUUCAGAACUAACAUGCUGGUAUUUUCUUGUAUAUGGUUUGCUAUGGUUGCCAGUGAAGCAGGUACUAAUAGAUUUUAUUCUCU